CACCGCGGUUACACGAGGAGCCCAAGUCGAUAAAUAACGGCGUAAAGGGUGGUUAAGGGUUUUUCAAAACUAGAGUCGAACUUCUUCAAAGCUGUAAUACGCAUUCGAAAACGGAAGAACAACUACGAAAGUGGCUCUAACCCUCCCGACACCACGAAAGCUAUGGAA
rnacentral:rRNA from 1 species